UUUAUGAAUAUGUCUAGUCGCGCCCCUAAUUAGAUGAAUAAAUUUAUAGAUUUUAAUGUAUUCUCAAUAUAAAUGUAUAUUUCUCUUAAAUUAAUUAUUCUACAUGGACUUUAUUAUUUAUUCACUUUUGUUGGGCUGAAAAUUUAAUAAAAGCCCAUAGCAAUUUUAUUUUCACCAAUUCAUUUUCACUAUUCUUAAUUUGAGAUAGCAACGUGUUUCCUUCCGUUUAGCCACAAUUUGAUUUACUACUCAAGCCACUUAUUUAUUUAACCUUGAAUAGCAUGUACUCUUAUUUAUUAAGUAACCAAAUUAUUAUAUAUCAAAGAUUUCAUAUUAUUUAUCUUCACUGUUCUUUUUUUUUUAAAUUCCUUUUCAAAAUGAAAAUGUGCAAAAAAUCCCAUUUAUCCAACCACAACCGCCAUACUCCUCUUUAUCCCCAUUUAUCACCGCCAUACAUUUUUAUACAUAUAUCAGAUUCAUUCACCUAUAGUAUAUCAUUUCAUCCUUUUUCUACAUCUACAUCUCUAAUUUGCAAAACGUAAACUUAUCCAGCAAGAAAAUCAAGUUCUUUCCUUCCACUGUAGAGGUGUGGCGCGACUAGGACAUGGAUUUUAGUUUGAAUUAUCAGAAUUAACUUUCAAGUUCAAGUUCAAGUUCAAAAUUCAGGUUUUAAAGACCGGAGGCGCGUGGAAGGUCGAAUGGCGAAUCAAAUAUUUUGAAUUUAGUUUUACUUAAAAAUGUUAUGUUUAGUAAAGUAUUUUAAAACAAGAUAUUUAUUUCACUAUUUUCUCGUUAAAUAUUUAUUUAUAGUCAUGAUUUUCCGCGUGCGUUUUCUUUUAAAAUUAAAAUGGAUUUGGGUGUCACAAGGUGGUAUCAGAGCCGAACCUCUCCCAGUACGGUGUGGUUCGGGGACGAACCAAGCGGAAGCUGGUGGGCCUGUGACGCCCGGGGACGAAGUACGGAGUGAUCGCCGGUGCAAAGAGGCACGGACAAAGAGCGGCUCCGGUUAAGACUUCCAAGCGGAGGGGCGCAGGGAUGAACCGGAACACACCCGAACGAGAGGGAUUCCGAGAAUAUGCAGGUAUGGGACUGCAUAUUCGAGGAGAGCUUAAAGGAUUUGAUUGGGCUACUCAUAUCAAUAAGAUGCAUCUUCUU